GACGAACGCUGGCGGCGUGCUUAACACAUGCAAGUCGAACGGAAAGGCCCUGCUUUUGUGGGGUGCUCGAGUGGCGAACGGGUGAGUAACACGUGAGUAACCUGCCCUUGACUUUGGGAUAACUUCAGGAAACUGGGGCUAAUACCGGAUAGGAGCUCCUGCUGCAUGGUGGGGGUUGGAAAGUUUCGGCGGUUGGGGAUGGACUCGCGGCUUAUCAGCUUGUUGGUGGGGUAGUGGCUUACCAAGGCUUUGACGGGUAGCCGGCCUGAGAGGGUGACCGGCCACAUUGGGACUGAGAGACGGCCCAGACUCCUACGGGAGGCAGCAGUGGGGAAUAUUGCACAAUGGGCGGAAGCCUGAUGCAGCAACGCCGCGUGCGGGAUGACGGCCUUCGGGUUGUAAACCGCUUUCGCCUGUGAUGAAGCGUGAGUGACGGUAAUGGGUAAAGAAGCACCGGCUAACUACGUG
rnacentral:rRNA from 1 species